UUUUUUGAACAGCAGCAAAACUCGGGUACAACCCUGAAGGGUUCUAGUUGAAUGAAUAGACCACAGUACUUAUUUUUUAAGCCUGGCACUUAUUCAUCAACUUUUUUGGUCAAUCACUAAGUUAUGGGUCUAUAAACAAACCAACACUGGCUGUCAAGCAGUAGUAGUGAACACACACACAAUGGGCUUCUUUCAGUUUCUGUCAACCAAACCCAGCUGCAAGCCUGGGGCUAGAGAAGACACUUGCCCAAGUAACAUACAGUGAGACUGCAUCCAGAACCACAUGGUAAGGAAUAAAUUUCUUACACAACAAUGCUGGUACCUAUAAUAAUUAUUUCUAGGUAAUUGUUCAGUUUACAUUUGUAAAAUUAAAAUGUGUUGACAAUGUUGAUAACUUUGAUUUUAGUUUCAGUUGUUUCUGCUUUUUGUUAUUUCUCAGUUCUUGUUUAUUUUAUAUCUUUUUUGAGGUGUACUUUUAGCUGCAAGUUUGUUUUAUGAAAGGAAAGAGAAAAACAGUAAGGAAUGAUAGCUAGACAACCACUCAGAAAUACAAAUUUAUGUGUGAGAGAUACAACUAGAUAGUUUUAUAAAUUGAGUAAAUAAUUGUUUUCUCCAAGUAAAGCUAAAAAUCAGUUGUAAAUAACAAAGAUGACAAGGGGUGACAAGAGUGAGUAAAGCAUCAGACAACAUAUUUUGGUGUAUUUAGUUAUGUCCCUUGAUCUUUUUUUAAAAGAGUUAAACUGAACAAUUACCUCAUUUCUAUUCUAGGCACAAGGCCUGAAAUUUUGUGGGAAGAGGCUGGCUGAUUCAUCAACCCUACUGCUUCACUGGAACCGAAUUUAUUGGCCCCAAAAAGAUGAAAGGCAAGGUGACUUCAGCAGCAUUUGAACUCAGAAUGUGAAGACAGAUGAAAUACUGCUGAGUAUUUUGUCCAAUAUGCUAAUAGUUCUGCCAGCUUGAUGCAUGUCGCUAUAUAUGAAUUAUUAGUGUUAUUAUAGCUUGGCACCUAUUGUUUUAUAUAUGUAAACAAACACUGGAAACUGGUUUAUUUCUAAUUCCAUGUAACACAUAUUUCAUUAUAGUAUAGGAAAAUAGAUACUUGUAACUUAACAGUUCAAAAGAAACUGACAAGACAAAUGUCAGGCUUAAAAAAAAAUUAAUACUCGGGUCAAAUCAUUCAAUUAAAUUCAAGGCAGUGCCCCAUCAUUUCCAGUCUAAUGACUGAAACAAGUAAAAGAUAAAAGGAUAUCUAUCUAUAUCUAUAAUUUAAAUAUAGGAUAAAAUCUUUAUAAGAAUUUAUCAAGUAGUUAGCAUGAAAAAUCUCAUAAGGGAAAAAUUUCUUGAUUAUUCCCUAUAAAUAAAUAAAUAGAUAGAUAUAGAUAUAUUUAUUUAUAUUAAGGGCAUUACUAUACAUAAAUGCCUCAUGCUAAGAGGGACUCUUAAAGUUGAAACUACCAUAAAAAACACAUUGUACCGAACACGGUACAAUG
rnacentral:lncRNA from 1 species